UCCAAGAAAGUCGCAGUUGUAUUUAUUUUGGUAACCGCUGUUUCUAUGGCUAUUGCUCAGGCUCCAGAAGAAGGUACAAUUGCACCCACCACCGUUAGCCAUUCGGGAGGCCUUGCAGCAGGUCCUCCGGCGUACUACAAUCCAGCACAAGAGGCCAGAGAUCGUCUUGUAACUUUCCUUUUACUUAAGUCAAUGAUGGGCGGUGAUGGUGAAAGAAGUGGAAUGAUACAAACUAUGUUCAUGCUAAGAGCAUUCGGUCUCUUUUCCUAAUUCUUAAACUUUUAAGGUCAUUUGUCACACAAUUCAUAUAUCAGCUUAAUAAACAUAAAUUUCAUAUUCGAUAAACUUUAAUUUCUGUUCAUUAGGUUUUUUUCAGUAUUCAAACAAUUGAAGACUUUAACCAAACAAAGUAUAUACUGACUUCAUUUUUUUCCCCGUAAUAUUUUUAUAUGUGUAACCAGGAAAUAAAAUUAUUACAAUGUUAUGUUAAUACAUGCAAAGACUUAAAGCAGUUCCAAUUAUUUAUAGCCGUUCCAAUUAAAGAUGACAAAAAGGCA